ACGAACGCGUCGACGGGCCUGUCUCCCCCGAGGAAGGGACCGUCGCGCGCAACGCGAUCAAUUUUCGUUGCGGCGCGCGGGCGGCUUAGACCGUAGUAGAACGGACGCGAGACGAAAUGACGAGGCAACCGAGGUACCGAUAACCGGCCGGAUAAUGUUGUCGCAGAGCAAGUUUUACGCUCUCUUCAUCCACUACACGUUCGUGUAGCGCGACACGGGGCGGGUCCUUGCCGCUGCGGUGAAGAAUAGAGAAGGAGAAGGAGGUGGAGGAGAAGGAAGAAGCAGAAGAAGAAGAAGAACACGAGGGGAAGGAAAAGGUCCUGUCACAUCAGUGAGGGAGAAUAGAAACGAAAGUGAAGCGAGAGAUACGGAGAAGGGAUAUUAAUCAUUCGAAACUAAAGAGAUAGCGCCUCGUACCAGCCGUCGUGCGUGGUCGCCAUCGUCGCUCGAAGGCUGAAGGAAAAGAAGCAAGAAAAAGGAAUAAAAAAGACGGAAUUCGUGGCGUAACCGAAGGGAACGGAGAGGGGCCGUACACGCGUGUAUACACGGCGGCACGCGUAUAUGCACGCAGGUGGAGGGACAUCGCGCGCGCGAGGCGGAAUUUUAACGCCAUAUGUCUCUCGUCGGUCGUUCUUCUUCUGCAUCGUCGGUGUGAAAGUGUAUAUCUUAAGUGUGUCGUCUCACGGUGCUCGGUUGUGCUACCCUUACAUCUCGAGCAAGGCCCGCGGAGGUAUCCCAGAACCCGCCCCCGCCCCCGCGCCCUCCCUCUCUCUCCGCUCUCGACGUCGCAGUGCCUCUCUUCUCUCCAUAUCGCUACGUUGCGCUUCUCUUUUACGUUCCCAGCGGUGACUAUCUACGCUGGAGAGUGUUCGACCUCCUCAACCAUAAAAAUCGACCGACUCGAAGACUAGACUAUGUUAUUUCGGAUAACGGAUUGAUCGCACCCGUCGCUUCAUUUACACGUCGGACAUGAAAAAUCUUGGUUCGCGUUGGACGGUCCCCGACAUAGCACGCAC